rnacentral:rRNA from 1 species
AUCGGAAAUCGAGAAUGGUACCGUAGAUUUAGUAACCUUGCUCCUUGGGUGACGAGUGGCGGACGGGUGAGUAAUGUCUGGGAAACUGCCCGAUGGAGGGGGAUAACUACUGGAAACGGUAGCUAAUACCGCAUAACGUCGCAAGACCAAAGAGGGGGACCUUCGGGCCUCUUGCCAUCGGAUGUGCCCAGAUGGGAUUAGCUAGUAGGUGGGGUAACGGCUCACCUAGGCGACGAUCCCUAGCUGGUCUGAGAGGAUGACCAGCCACACUGGAACUGAGACACGGUCCAGACUCCUACGGGAGGCAGCAGUGGGGAAUAUUGCACAAUGGGCGCAAGCCUGAUGCAGCCAUGCCGCGUGUAUGAAGAAGGCCUUCGGGUUGUAAAGUACUUUCAGCGAGGAGGAAGGUGUUGUGGUUAAUAACCGCAGCAAUUGACGUUACUCGCAGAAGAAGCACCGGCUAACUCCGUGCCAGCAGCCGCGGUAAUACGGAGGGUGCAAGCGUUAAUCGGAAUUACUGGGCGUAAAGCGCACGCAGGGGGGUCUGCAAGUCGGAUGUGAAAUCCCCGGGGCUCACCUGGGAACUGCAUCCAAACUGGGCAGGU